rnacentral:rRNA from 1 species
CAAUAGCGUAUAUUAAAGUUGUUGCAGUUAGAACGCUCGUAGUCGGAUUUCGGGGCAGUCCGACCGGUCUGCCGAUGGGUAUGCACUGGCCGGAGUGUCCUUUUUGCCGGAGACCGUGCCUACUCUUAACUGAGCGGGGGCGGGAGACGGCACUUUUACUUUGAAAAAAUCAGAGUGUUUCAAGCAGGCAGCUCGCUCUUGCAUGGAUUAGCAUGGGAUAAUGAAAUAGGACUUUGGUGCUAUUUUGUUGGUUUCGAACACCGAAGUAAUGAUGAGAAGGGACAGUCAGGGGCAUUCGUAUUCCGCAGAGAGAGGUGAAAUUCUCAGACCCGCGGAAGACGAACCACUGCGAAAGCAUUUGCCAGGGAUGUUUUCACUGA